UCUGGGGCUCACAGAGCUCACCGUAUGACCAAAGUUAGGACUGCCGAGUCUGAGAGGGCCUCACUCACAUCCGGGGAUUUGUGAUGGUGUUGAAUAAAGAAGCUUUACUAUUGACUCCGCCCUCUGUUCUUCCGCCUCAGGGAAGACAUCCAGUUGAAGACAUAAGUGGGAUGAGGACUUGAAGAAAGUUGAGAACAAGACACUCCAUCCAUCCCUGUGGAGGAAAGGUACACCAUCCUCCAAGCACAGGGGUGACUUUGUUUACCUUCCUGGAAGCCCCCUCAAACACUGUAGAAACCUAUCCUUUGGAGUUUUUUUUUUUUUUCUUUAAGACCAUUCAUUGAUGAGGUAUGAUUGAAG
rnacentral:lncRNA from 1 species